AACAGGAUUAGAUACCCUGGUAGUCCACGCCGUAAACGAUGUCUACUAGCCGUUGGGGUCCUUGAGACUUUAGUGGCGCAGUUAACGCGAUAAGUAGACCGCCUGGGGAGUACGGCCGCAAGGUUAAAACUCAAAUGAAUUGACGGGGGCCCGCACAAGCGGUGGAGCAUGUGGUUUAAUUCGAUGCAACGCGAAGAACCUUACCUGGUCUUGACAUAGUGAGAAUCCUGCAGAGAUGCGGGAGUGCCUUCGGGAAUUCACAUACAGGUGCUGCAUGGCUGUCGGCAGCUCGUGUCGUGAGAUGUUGGGUUAAGUCCCGCAACGAGCGCAACCCUUUUCCUUAUUUGCCAGCGGGUUAAGCCGGGAACUUUAAGGAUACUGCCAGUGACAAACUGGAGGAAGGCGGGGACGACGUCAAGUCAUCAUGGCCCUUACGACCAGGGCUACACACGUGCUACAAUGGUAGGUACAGAGGGUUGCUACACAGCGAUGUGAUGCUAAUCUCAAAAAGCCUAUCGUAGUCCGGAUUGGAGUCUGCAACUCGACUCCAUGAAGUCGGAAUCGCUAGUAAUCGCAGAUCAGAAUGCUGCGGUGAAUACGUUCCCGGGCCUUGUACACACCGCCCGUCACACCAUGGGAGUCUAUUGCACCAGAAGUAGGUAGCCUAACGAAAGAGGGCACUUACCACGGUGUGGUCGAUGACUGGGGUGAAGUCGUAACAAGGUAGCCGUAGGGGAACCUGCGGCUGGAUCACCUCCUU
rnacentral:rRNA from 1 species